UACGUAGGGUGCAAGCGUUGUCCGGAAUCACUGGGCGUAAAGGGCGCGUAGGUGGCUUGGUAAGGGGGCGGUGAAAGCUUGGGGCUCAACCCCGAGUCGGCCGUCGAUACUUCCGGGCUGGAGCACUGUAGAGGCAGGUGGAAUUCCGGGUGUAGCGGUGGAAUGCGUAGAGAUCCGGAAGAACACCGGUGGCGAAGGCGGCCUGCUGGGCAGUAGCUGACGCUGAGGCGCGACAGCGUGGGGAGCAAACAGG
rnacentral:rRNA from 1 species